rnacentral:rRNA from 1 species
UGGGGAAUCUUGCCCAAUGGGCGCAAGCCUGAGGCAGCAACGCCGCGUGCGGGAAGAAGGCCUUCGGGUUGUAAACCGCUUUCAGCAGGAACGAAAAUGACGGUACCUGCAGAAGAAGGUGCGGCCAACUACGUGCCAGCAGCCGCGGUGACACGUAGGCACCAAGCGUUGUCCGGAUUUAUUGGGCGUAAAGAGCUCGUAGGCGGUUCGGUAAGUCGGGUGUGAAAACUUUGGGCUCAACCCAAAGCCUGCACCCGAUACUGCUGUGACUCGAGUCCGGUAGGGGAGUGGGGAAUUCCUGGUGUAGCGGUGGAAUGCGCAGAUAUCAGGAGGAACACCGGUGGCGAAGGCGCCACUCUGGGCCGGUACUGACGCUGAGGAGCGAAAGCGUGGGGAGCGAACA